GACGAACGCUGGCGGCGUGCCUAAUACAUGCAAGUCGAACGCAUUUUCUUUCACCGUAGCUUGCUACACCGAAAGAAAAUGAGUGGCGAACGGGUGAGUAACACGUGGGUAACCUGCCCAUCAGCGGGGGAUAACACUUGGAAACAGGUGCUAAUACCGCAUAAUUCCAUUUACUGCAUGGUAGAUGGAUGAAAGGCGCUUUUGCGUCACUGAUGGAUGGACCCGCGGUGCAUUAGCUAGUUGGUGGGGUAACGGCCUACCAAGGCUGCGAUGCAUAGCCGACCUGAGAGGGUGAUCGGCCACACUGGGACUGAGACACGGCCCAGACUCCUACGGGAGGCAGCAGUAGGGAAUCUUCGGCAAUAGACGCAAGUCUGACCGAGCAACGCCGCGUGAGUGAAGAAGGUUUUCGGAUCGUAAAACUCUGUUGUUAGAAAAGAACAAGGAUGAGAGUGGAAAGUUCAUCCCUUGACGGUAUCUAACUAGAAAGCCACGGCUAACUACGUG
rnacentral:rRNA from 1 species